UGUAAUGUCUGAUUUAUUUUUUACUUUUUUAAAAUAAAUGCUAUCAUACAAACAAAAACAAAUAAAUAUACAGAUUUUAGUAUUUUCAAAUAGAAUAUAUGUAGGGUUAGUAAAGGAGACCUCUUGGCAAGGGGUCUCCUUUCCCAUAAGUUUGAUUCUAAUUACUACCACAAGGAUGUUAAAUUGGGGUGCAACGUCAUCAUAACAGCUUUGACUGGCAGCUGCAGUCACGGAGAAACUUGUCUAUCUCUGUUCGGGAAUAGCAGAUAGAGCGUAGGCUCUGAGAGGAGGGCCAGCGUUUACGUUACAAAACGACGACCGACUGUUUUAACCUAACAGACUGAGGUGUUCUUCAGUAAACUGGACUACCCGACAGAAGGACCCGAGGCCCCGCUGCACUCUUUCGGAGCUGCCCUCAGAUUCAGACCUCAGCACCACCCAGUGACAGCAGACAGAUCAUCCUAUAUCUUCACUCUUUGUAGUAACUCCAAAAUUAACUGAUGAAAACAGUACAAAGGUUAAAGUACCACAUGAUGUGCUGUCAGUGAAAGCUGCGGCUGUUUUAUUGAUAAAGUUACAGACAAAAAGUCAAAAGAAUUAAUCACCCAUGUAACUGUGUCACUAUAUAUCAGCAUUAACAGUACCUCAAUUUAGUGUUUCAGAAAGCUGCUGGUCUCAGACCUGCAGAGCUUCUGUUUUAAACACUGAAUGUACUCAGCUGCAUGAAGAGCACAUGAGAUUUUCUCUGACACAAUUAAAUAAAACCUGAUGAAGGUCAAA